ensembl:lncRNA
GUCAGAUAUGGGCGGAACCUCCCCUCUAGAAAGGCGGAGCACCCUUUGAAGAGCGAGAUGGCUUUGAAAGGUCAGAUUUAUUUCAAAGUACAAAGUUUGUUCUGUCUCUCCUGCUGCAAGCUCAACCUGCAAACUGAAAACUCAAGCUGUGUCCCUUCUGCCUAUCAUUGUUUGAAAGGAAAAUUUGUAAUCUGUAUGCAAAAUGCUGCAUUGGAUGUGAAUUUAUGACAUAUACUGAAUCAUUUCUUUCAAGUGUUUGGGGUUGAAUAAAGCAAUGUGUUAAAUUAGAUAAAAGCAAGGACACAGUUGAAGUGCUGAAGAAAGAGGGCACUAGUGUACAGCCCAGAUUGCAUCCUUGCACCGUCUGGAUUGGAGCUGAGGCGUCUGCGAACUGAGGGAUGCCAGGGUCUUCUGACCUGGGGACCACAGCUCUCUCUACCCCGACUCAGCGUCCGGCUCACCGCUGCCAGCACGACGUGCAGUGCACGCUUGAUCAAUUUACC